AUUACUCCGGAUGCAUAAUCCUUGGUACUAGACCUUUGUGGAAGGACGUCAUUAUGAACAAGGGAUGGGGCUUGGUGCAUCCUCCUGUUGUGGUUUAGCAGUUAAGCCUUUUUCAGCAUGCUAGUGGCUGUGGUCUUGUGUGAUGAGCUACCAUGCAUUUUGCUACAUGGUAAAUUUAUCUCGCAGGUGUAACUGCUCAUCCAGGGGUUUCCAGUUACUUGGUUGGAGACGACUGUACAUCAGAGAUGUGACUGCACUGCUGCUUUGUUUGUUGGGUGAUUGUUU